rnacentral:rRNA from 1 species
AUUGAACGCUGGCGGCAUGCCUUACACAUGCAAGUCGAACGGUAACAGGUCUUCGGAUGCUGACGAGUGGCGAACGGGUGAGUAAUACAUCGGAACGUGCCCGAUCGUGGGGGAUAACGAGGCGAAAGCUUUGCUAAUACCGCAUAAGAUCUAUGGAUGAAAGCAGGGGACCGCAAGGCCUUGCGCGAACGGAGCGGCCGAUGGCAGAUUAGGUAGUUGGUGGGGUAAAGGCUUACCAAGCCUACGAUCUGUAGCUGGUCUGGGAGGACGACCAGCCAAACUGGGACUGAGACACGGCCCAGACACCGACGGGAGGCAGCGGUGGGGAAUUUGGGACAAUGGGCGCAAGCCUGAUCCAGCCAAGCCGCGUGCAGGAUGAAGGCCUUCGGGUUGUAUACUGCUUUUGUACGGAACGAAAAGCCUUCUUCUAAUAAAGGGAGGUCAUGACGGUACCGUAAGAAUAAGCACCGGCUAACUACGUGCCAGCAGCCGCCGUAA